UGGAAGGGAUGGACAUGGAAGUGAGGGCACUGAGAUAUAAUUUUCCCAAGAAUGAGUAUCAAAGGGAUUGUUUAAGUUACUGCAUCUAACUAAGAUGGAAAAGAAGCUGGGGCUAUUGCAGUGGAAGACAGAAAGACUACAUCUUGGGUGCCUAUCCUUGAUUAAGGCUUUGCUGUCAGACUGGUAAUUCCAGAAACUAAAUUUUUAUCAUUUAUCCCUGGAAUAACCAGGA